rnacentral:misc_RNA from 1 species
GGGAAGUACAUGGCCUGUUGUUUAAUGUACCGUGGAGAUGUCGUGCCGAAGGAUGUUAAUGGUGCUGUUGCCACAAUUAAAACCAAGAGGACUGUCCAGUUUGUUGAUUGGUGUCCGACUGGUUUUAAGUGUGGAAUUAACUAUCAAGCCCCAACAGUUGUCCCUGGCGGAGACCUAGCAAAGGUACAACGUGCUGUCUGCAUGAUCAGUAACAACACAGCUGUUGCUGAGGUGUUCUCACGGAUCGACCACAAGUUUGAUCUUAUGUAUGCCAAGCGCGCAUUUGUUCACUGGUAUGUGGGGGAAGGGAUGGAAGAGGGGGAGUUCUCGGAAGCCCGAGAGGAUCUGGCUGCCCUGGAGAAGGACUAUGAGGAAGUUGGAGCAGAGGGGGCUGAUGAUGAUGGGGAAGAGCCAGAAGACUAUUGAGUGGUUUGGAAGAUUGAUCUUGGACUUUUGUUUGGGUUUCUGUUUGGUCAUUGUUUGAUCUGUUUACUGCUCAUUUGAGGUGUUUGUAAUGGGUGUAUUCUGGUCUAUGUUUUCCGUAGUCUUGUGAACUGUCAAUUGUGCGUCAGGGUUUAAAGCAGCAUCUCUUGUGCCA